GCUCAUGCAGUGGAAGAAGACGUCUGAACGCUCACUGAUCAUGAACCUGACCUCUGUGGAGGUCAUGGGGCAAGAGCAGCUCCAGACUCAUCUACUCUAGCUAGAGGAGGAGAUUUAGCAAAGCAGGAGGAGGAGAGAAGACAAGAGUACCGUCCCCUCAUUGCCGGCAAAUAGCAUUCUCUUCAUCUCUCCGUGGGCUGGGAGGGGAACACAGCAGCAUAUGCUCCCCUACAGGGAAAGAGUACAGAGUACCCUCCUGAGUUCCCUUCCCUCGCAGAAAACGAACGAACUGUGUGGAGCCAAAGAAAAUACGAUCACACCCUUCCUGACACUUAGAGCUGUGGGGGCCAAGUGUAAUUGGCCUAGA